GUCCCUUCCCUGAGAUAUAUAUUAAAAUUGGAACAACAUAGAGAACAUUGGCAUGACCACUGGGAAAAGAUGACACAAAUUGCAAAACAUUCCUUCUCUAA
rnacentral:snRNA from 1 species